rnacentral:rRNA from 1 species
GUCGCGCGAUUAAAGCAGCAAUGCAUAUAGAGCGGCGAACGGGUGAGUAACAGGUGGACAACCUACCCUCUGGCGGGGGACAACAGUUGGAAACGACUGCUAAUACCGCAUGUGAUUGCAUUUCCUCGGGAGUGCAAGGAAAGGCGCGUUUGCGUCACCAGAGGAUGGGUCCGCCCCCCAUUAGCUUGUUGGUGUGAUAACAGCGCACCAAGGCUUCGAUGGGUAGCCGAGCUGAGAGGUUGAUCGGCCACACUGGGACUGAGACACGGCCCAGACACCUACGGGUGGCAGCAGUAGGGAAUAUUGGACAAUGGACGAAAGUCUGAUCCAGCCAUGCCGCGUGAGUGACGAAGGUCUUCGGAUUGUAAAGCUCUUUUAUGAGGGAAGAACAUCCCGGGGAGGAAAUGCCCCGGGUCUGACGGUACCUCAGGAAUAAGGGACGGCUAACUCCGUGCCAGCAGCCGCGGUAAUACGGAGGUCCCGAGCGUUGUUCGGAAUUACUGGGCGUAAAGGGGGCGCAGGCGGACAGGUCAGUGGAAAGUGGAAGCCCGGGGCUCAACCCCGGAAAGCCUUUCCAUACUGCUUGUCUUGAGUUCGUGAGAGGAGAGCGGAAUUCAGGGUGUAGCGGUGAAAUGCUUAGAUAUCCUGAGGAACACCAAUGGCGAAAGCAGCUCUCUGGCACGUUACUGACGCUGAGGCCCGAAAGCGUGGGGAGCGAACGGGAUUAGAUACCCCGGUAGUCCACGCCGUAAACGUUGUGCACUAGGUGCAGGAGGUAUCGACCCCUUCUGUGC